CCUACGGGAGGCAGCAGUGAGGAAUAUUGGUCAAUGGGCGUAAGACUGAACCAGCCAAGUCGCGUGCAGGAAGACGGUCCUAUGGGUUGUAAACCUCUUUUAUCGGGGGAUAAAAUGCGCCACGCGUGACGUUCCGAAGGUACCCCAAGAAAAAGCAUCGGCUAAAUCCGUGCCAGCAGCCGCGGUAAUACGGAAGGUGCGGGCGUUAUCCGGGUUUAUUGGGUUUAAAGGGUGCGCGAGCCGCAUGUCAAGUCCGCGGUGAAAUCCCAAGGCUCAACCAUCGCGGGGCCGCGCAAACUGGGUUUCUUGAGUGAGCGAGAAGUAUGCGGAAUGCGUGGUGUAGCGGUGAAAUGCAUAGAUAUCACGAAGAACUCCGAUUGCGAAGGCAGCAUACCGGAGCGCUACUGACGCUGAGGCACGAAAGCGCGGGUAUCGAACAGGAUUAGAUACCCGAGUAGUC
rnacentral:rRNA from 1 species